GACGAACGCUGGCGGCGUGCUUAACACAUGCAAGUCGAACGGAAAGGCCCUGCUUUUGUGGGGUGCUCGAGUGGCGAACGGGUGAGUAACACGUGAGCAACCUGCCCUUGACUUUGGGAUAACUUCAGGAAACUGGGGCUAAUACCGGAUAGGAGCUCCUGCUGCAUGGUGGGGGUUGGAAAGUUUCGGCGGUUGGGGAUGGACUCGCGGCUUAUCAGCUUGUUGGUGGGGUAGUGGCUUACCAAGGCUUUGACGGGUAGCCGGCCUGAGAGGGUGACCGGCCACAUUGGGACUGAGAUACGGCCCAGACUCCUACGGGAGGCAGCGGUGGGGAAUAUUGCACAAUGGGCGGAAGCCUGAUGCAGCAACGCCGCGUGCGGGAUGACGGCCUUCGGGUUGUAAACCGCUUUCGCCUGUGACGAAGCGUGAGUGACGGUAAUGGGUAAAGAAGCACCGGCUAACUACGUG
rnacentral:rRNA from 1 species